AAAUAAUAUUUGAAUCCAUAUAGUUUCGAUCAGGUCACCUCUAACACAAUUACCCUCCAUGAAUUCGACCGGAGGAGAAGAGAGGGUUAGAGCUCCUACUUCCACUGGUUUUCCCGCCAUGGACUCCAUAGAAAUCGACUCCGAGAAAAUCCUCCACAGGAAGCAAUCCUCUUUUCAGUCUCUGGUUAGAACCCAUGUUUUGUUUUUCUCACUCCCUUAAGUUUUUACGUUCCAUCCCCCAUCGCAGCGAGUAAAAAAGAUGGGAUUUUCGGCAUUUCGUCGUGUUCCUGUGCACUAGGGUUUGUAAUCUGGUUCAAGUUUUUUUUUUAAAAAAAAAUUUGAAGCAGGAUGAGAGAGAUAAUAGGUACAAAAGGAGAUGUAUAGAGGCAGCAAUACAUACAACCAAUCUACUUUGCUCGUUUGCACUUGAUGAGAAAACUUCUCCUCUCCCUUUUUCCCGAUUGGAAUCCCCAUUUGCCUGAGGUCAGCUACUCCACUUGUUAAACCUCGUAGCACCCGGAUGAUCAUCUGGUUCUGGAAGACGAGAGCGGGAGAGUUAAGCUCGGUGGCACCACACUUUCACCCGCAGCUUCUGUGACAGGUGAUGUUGUUGCAUUACAUUACAUGGGAAGGAAACUAGUGCUGGUGAGUUCUUUGUUGAAGAAUGUAUCAGAAGCUGGCCUAACCGCCUCAGGUAGAGCGGCCUCUUGAUCUAAGUAAGUAGAACUGCAUUUUCUUCCUUUGGCUCUCUACAAUAACAAGUGAAUCUCUCAGUUGUUGUAGUAUCUUAUUAUAAGCAAUCUCCCGGACACUGUAAUGUUCUUCUGCAGAGGAAGAUAAAUAUCUUCUUCUUAUGUCGGGUUUGUGCAUUUGGAGCCAUUCAUCCGAUCCGCCGCAAUUUCAGCAUCUCAUUGAUCGUAUCUUUAACUCUCAGGUUUUAGGUUCAUGCCGAACCACAUUAUUUGGUGGCUGAUGUCACAGAAGUUGGCCUCGAAAGAUCAUUCAACGCUGUCUGAACUCUUCAAGGAGCUGGAUAUCUUGUGACUUUUUUUUGACUCGGGAUAUGAGAAUUGAUCAAUUAUUGUCCAUAGAUCGAUGCAUGAGUGCCGGUAGAUAUCAAUGCCUACCCCAAAUGACCCAUCAAACCGUUCGUUGCCUCAACAGGUUUGCUAACAUAACCAAUGCUCGAACUGACUUCAUUCACUUUCUAAGCAUUCAUACCGACAGAUUUGAUCCAUUAACUAACGACACUUCUUUUCUUUUAGCCUCUCUUGUUCUCUGGUUCAUCAUCCUAUAAUAAUACCUUGAGAUCAUGCAAGAAUACUCACUCCUUCGAUCUUGGUAAUGUCAUUUGUGGGAAUAUAUACACCUGCGAAAUGCUGGUUUAAGCGAUUACAGCUGUUGGGUGUACUAAUUUAAACUCUCCAAGAGGUGACCUUGCAGAUUUCUUGGGACUUCUGGUCGGAAUAUCGACGACCCCUCGACGAGUACACUCCGAGGCCAAGGAUAAGCUUUGAGUUUGUGGAAAAGACGCUGAAGUGGAGGCACCUAAUACACUUGUGAGCGACCCUUUCUUUUAAGAUUUUUUUCCUUCUGGUUUUCUUGUCCUCUGAUGGGACAUGGAGUUGUUAAUGAUGGUGUGAUCAUCUGCUUGCUAUCCUUUCAC